rnacentral:tRNA from 4 species
GCUGAAAUAGGCUAGUGGUAAACCAUACGAUUCAUACUUGUAAUUCGAGGGUUCAAUUCCCUCUUUCAGCU